AGAACGAACGCUGGCGGCAGGCUUAACACAUGCAAGUCGAGCGCCUCGCAAGAGGAGCGGCAGACGGGUGAGUAACGCGUGGGAACGUGCCCAAAGGUACGGAACAACUCCGGGAAACUGGAGCUGAUACCGUAUGUGCCCGAAAGGGGAAAGAUUUAUCGCCUUUGGAUCGGCCCGCGUCUGAUUAGCUAGUUGGUAGGGUAACGGCCUACCAAGGCGACGAUCAGUAGCUGGUCUGAGAGGAUGACCAGCCACACUGGGACUGAGACACGGCCCAGACUCCUACGGGAGGCAGCAGUGGGGAAUAUUGGACAAUGGGCGCAAGCCUGAUCCAGCCAUGCCGCGUGAGUGAUGAAGGCCUUAGGGUUGUAAAGCUCUUUCGCCAGGGACGAUAAUGACGGUACCUGGAUAAGACGCCCGGCUAACUCGCGCCAGCAGCCGC
rnacentral:rRNA from 1 species